GUAGGGUCCAAGCGUUAUCCGGAUUUACUGGGCGUAAAGUGUUCCGUAGGCGGUAGUUUAAGUACAUAGUUAAAGCCCGAGGCUCAACUUCGGAAAAGCGAUGUAAACUGAAUUACUUGAGGAUGUUAGGGGGUGCUGGAAUUCACGGUGGAGGGGUGAAAUCCGUUGAUAUCGUGAAGAACACCAAGGGCGAAGGCAGGCACCUGGGACAUUCCUGACGCUGAGGGACGAAAGCUAGGGGAGCAAAAGGGAUUAGAGACCCCUGUAGUCCUAGCCGUAAACGAUCCUCACUAGAUGGUUGGAUUUAUCUGACUGUCGUAAGCUAACGCGUUAAGUGAGGCGCCUGGGUAGUACGGCCGCAAGGCUA
rnacentral:rRNA from 1 species